rnacentral:rRNA from 1 species
GUUGAACGCUGGCGGCAGGCUUAACACAUGCAAGUCGAGCGGAGAUGAGGUGCUUGCACCUUAUCUUAGCGGCGGACGGGUGAGUAAUGCUUAGGAAUCUGCCUAUUAGUGGGGGACAACAUUCCGAAAGGAAUGCUAAUACCGCAUACGUCCUACGGGAGAAAGCAGGGGAUCUUCGGACCUUGCGCUAAUAGAUGAGCCUAAGUCGGAUUAGCUAGUUGGGGGGGUAAAGGCCUACCAAGGCGACGAUCUGUAGCGGGUCUGAGAGGAUGAUCCGCCACACUGGGACUGGGACACGGCCCAGACUCCUACGGGAGGCAGCAGUGGGGAAUAUUGGACAAUGGGGGGAACCCUGAUCCAGGCAUGCCGCGUGUGCGAAGAAGGCCUUAUGGUUGUAAAGCACUUUAAGCGAGGAGGAGGCUACUGUGACUAAUACUCUUGGAUAGUGGACGUUACUCGCAGAAUAAGCACCGGCUAACUCUGUGCCAGCCGCCGCAGUAAUAC